rnacentral:lncRNA from 1 species
CUCCAGCCUGGGCGACAGGGCGAGACCUGGAGUGCAGGCACAAUUAUGGCUCCCUGCAGCCUUGACCUCCCCAGGUUCAGGUGAUCCUCCCACCUCAGUUUUUCUAUUUUUAGUAGAGCCCUCCACCUCCCGGGUUCAAGAGAAUCACUUGAGCCCCAGAGGCAAAGGUUUCAGUAAGCCGAGAUCGUGCCACUGCACUCUAGCUUGGGCUACAGAGUGAGACUCCAUCUCACACACACACACACAAAAGAAAUGAAAACAACAAUUUGUACAUGAGUUCAAAACAGAAUUAUUUAUUUCCCAAACUAGAAACAAUCCAAAUGUCUAUCAACAGAUAAAUGGAUAAGCAAAUGAUGACACAAUUGCAUUAAUGGAAUACCACUCAGCAAUGAAAAGGAACAAACCACUCAUACCUACAACACAGAUGAGCCUCAGAAACGUGAUGCUAAGUGAAAGAAGCCAGACCAAAAAAAUUAUAUGCUAUUAUUCCAUUUCUAUGAAAUUUCUGGAAAAGGCAAAAACCAUGCAAAGUAGAUCAGAGGUUGGCUGGGGGUGAGAGCAGAGACUGACUACAAAUAGGCCCAAGGGAACGUUUUGGGGUGAUGGAAGUUUUCUAUAAGUGGAUUAUGGUGAUGGCUACACAACAGUAUAAAUUAAAGGUCAUCCAAAU